UCUCUCUCUCUCUCUCUCUCUCCCAACAAACAGUCCUUCAACCCCCUCAAUAAUCCCUCUCUCUCUCUCUCUCUCUCUCUCUCUCUCUUCCAACAAACAGUCCUUCAACCCCCUCAAUACUCCUUUCUCUCUCUCUCUCUCUCUCUCUCUCUCUGCAAACAAGCAGUCCUUCAACCCCCUCAAUACUCCUCUCUCUCUCUCUCUCUCUCUCUCUCAACAAGCAGUCCUUCAACCCCCUCAAUACUCCUUUCUCUCUCUCUUCCAACAAGCAGUCCUUCAACCCCCUCAAUACUCCUCUCUCUCUCUCUCUCUCUCUCCCAACAAACAGUCCUUCAACCCCCUCAAUACUCCUCUCUCUCUCUCUCUCUCUCCCAACAAACAGUCCUUCAACCCCCUCAACACUCCUCUCUCUCUCUCUCUCUCUCUCUCUCUUCCAACAAACAGUCCUUCAACCCCCUCAAUACUCCUCUCUCUCUCUCCCAACAAACAGUCCUUCAACCCACUCAAUACUCCUCUCUCUCUCUCUCUCUCCCUCUCUCUCCCAACAAACAGUCCUUCAACCCCCUCAAUACUCCUCUCUCUCUCUCUCUUCCAACAAACAGUCCUUCAACCCCCUCAAUACUCCUCUCUCUCUCUCUCUCUCUCUCUAUCUCUCCCAACAAACAGUCCUUCAACCCCCUCAACACUCCUCUCUCUCUCUCUCUCUCUCUUCCAACAAACAGUCCUUCAACCCCUUCAAUACUCCUCUCUCUCUCUUCCAACAAGCAGUCCUUCAACCCCCUCAAUACUCCCCUCUCUCUCUCUCUCUCUCUCUCUCUUACAACAAGCAGUCCUUCAACCCCCUCAAUACUCCCCUCUCUCUCUCUCUUCCAACAAGCAGUCCUUCAACCCCCUUAAUACUACUCUCUCUCUCUCUUUCAACAAGCAUCCUUCAACCCCCCUCAAUACUCCUCUCUCUCUCUCUCUCUUCCAACAAGCAGUCCUUCAACCCCCUCAAUACUCCCUCUCUCUCUCUCUCUCUCUCUCU
rnacentral:lncRNA from 1 species